rnacentral:rRNA from 1 species
GAGUUUGAUUAUGGCUCAGGAUGAACGCUGGCGGCGUGCUUAACACAUGCAAGUCGAACGAACCUUCGGGUUAGUGGCGGACGGGUGAGUAACGCGUGGGAAUCUGCCCUCAGGAGGGGGAUAACGGCCGGAAACGGCCGCUAAUACCCCAUAUGCCGAGAGGUGAAAUGAAUUUCGCCUGAGGAUGAGCCCGCGUCUGAUUAGCUAGUUGGUGAGGUAAGAGCUCACCAAGGCAUCGAUCAGUAGCUGGUCUGAGAGGAUGAUCAGCCACACUGGGACUGAGACACGGCCCAGACUCCUACGGGAGGCAGCAGUGGGGAAUUUUCCGCAAUGGGCGAAAGCCUGACGGAGCAACGCCGCGUGAGGGAUGAAGGCCUCUGGGCUGUAAACCUCUUUUAUCAAGGAAGAAGAUCUGACGGUACUUGAUGAAGCGGCCACGGCUAAUUCCGUGC